rnacentral:rRNA from 1 species
GCGGAGGAAAAGAAACCAACAGGGAUUGCCUUAGUAGCGGCGAGUGAAGCGGCAAAAGCUCAAAUUUGAAAUCUGGCACUUUCAGUGUCCGAGUUGUAAUUUGAAGAAGGUAUCUUUGGGUCUGGCUCUUGUCUAUGUUUCUUGGAACAGAACGUCACAGAGGGUGAGAAUCCCGUGCGAUGAGAUGACCCAGACCUAUGUAAAGUUCCUUCGAAGAGUCGAGUUGUUUGGGAAUGCAGCUCUAAGUGGGUGGUAAAUUCCAUCUAAAGCUAAAUAUUGGCGAGAGACCGAUAGCGAACAAGUACAGUGAUGGAAAGAUGAAAAGAACUUUGAAAAGAGAGUGAAAAAGUACGUGAAAUUGUUGAAAGGGAAGGGCUUGAGAUCAGACUUGGUAUUUUGUAUGUUACUCUUUCGGGGGUGGCCUCUACAGUUUACCGGGCCAGCAUCAGUUUGGGCGGUAGGAGAAUUGCAAAGAAAUGUGGCACUGCUUCGGUAGUGUGUUAUAGUCUUUGUCGAUACUGCCAGCCUAGACUGAGGACUGCGGCUUCGGCCUAGGAUGUUGGCAUAAUGAUCUUAAGUCGCCCGUCUUG